AAAUGGUGUAACUGGGUGGUGGCUGGGUAGGGCCGCCCACUCCGGCUCCUGGUGUAACAGACAUAAUGGCCUUAGGUUCUCGCAGAAGCAGAGGCAGCAGGAGGACAUUUUUGCUCCCUGGCUUCAGGUAGGAUUUGGCUAAGAUUUGGCUAAGAUUUUAAACUGAGUGUGGGCUUGGCUCCUGUGGUCAAAGUCUAACUGUUGUGUGACUGUUGUGUUGAAAGAAAGGCACCUUUACUAACUAUCCUUUGCAGUACAUACAGGAAACAAAGCAACAUAAACAAAUACACAAAGAGGUGGUUUGUUGCAGUUUGCACAUAAAGUGCGUGCAUAUUACUUAACUGUACAAAGAUCCCACUUGGCCACCACGCUCACCAAGAGAUGCAACAAAAGCAAAACAUUCCCAUCACAUGCACCAGCUGUGGCAUGUUCCGCUUUUUCACACAAAAACUAGACAACUACAUCUGCUCCAAAUGCAAACAGAUGACUCUGAUGGAGCAGAGGAUCCAACAGCUCGAGCACCGUAUUAAGACCCUUAAGGACAUUCAGGCACUCGAGCUCUUCUUGGACACUGCACAACACGCUGUUGUAGAUCAGCAGCCUGCAUCACACCAACACCACCAAGACCAUGAUCAGGAACCUUAUGGGGAGAUCAACUCAAAGGUAGACAACCCUCAGGCUUGGAAGGAGGUCACCCAUAGAAGGAGACGCAGGACCAGGCAGCCUCCGCAGAACUCCUCUGCUCAGCUGCAUUUACACAACAGAUUUGAAAUUCUUACAUCAUUAACAUACAAUCAGGAAACACAUCUUGUGGAGGACCACAGUUUCUUAGAUACCACUCAGUGGACCACCCUGGAUCAAUGCGCAGGGGAUAGCCCUGACGGGGACAGUGCAUCACUACAGUCACACUUAUGUAAUCAUGCAAAUGCUCCAUCCCCAAUCAUAGACCAGGAGCAACAGGAACAUCCUUGGGAGAGUAAUGGGCUCUCGGAUGUAUCUCAAUGGAUUGUCAUUGAUGAAUGCACUGGGGAUGUUGAGGAGGAGGACAACACUUUACACCUACAUGAUUCACUUCAACAGGAACACUCUUCAGGGGACAUACACACUGUCUUGCACAAAAGGGACCCUGUCAAUCCUCAAAGGAAACAGGUCUUGGUAGUAGGUGACUCCCUCCUUAGAGGAACGGAAGCCAUCAUUUCCAGACCGGAUGGGAUGGCUCGAGAAACAUGCUGCCUCCCGGGGGCAAAAAUACACCAUAUCACUCAGAGGCUCAGCAGGCUCCUAAAGCCCCAUCACCCUCCCCACCUUAUGUUGAUACAUGUAGGUACCAAUGACACCGCUAGGCAUACUUUUCAAAAGAUCACAAAUGAU
rnacentral:lncRNA from 1 species